GUUGGUGCAUUGCAUAGUUCUGGAGAUUGGAUUUCACUCAAAACCCACCAAAUGACUACUCCCACCAUAUUGUGAUGUUCCCCAGGUUUUGGACUCAGUCCGAUAACGAUUGGUCCAUGAAAUUGGACGAUUCAAGUUCGGACGAAGUUCGUUUUGAAUGGAGUGGUUGGUGUAUUGCAAUGUUCUAGAGAUGGGAUUUCACUCAAGACCCAACAAAUGACUAUUCCCACCAUAUUGUGAUGUUC
rnacentral:lncRNA from 1 species